AUGUGUUCAGUGUGUAAUUCACUAAUGUCUGAUGUCUGUGUUUGUUUUUCCAGUAGCUUCUCCCACUACAGGAGAUGUUUCAGUAUGCUGGGACACACGGAGAAUUUGUGGUACAGGUACGAGAGCUACAACUCAAGACAUGCGUCUGAGAUCUUGAGCUGGUUUGCUUUGUUUUCUUUCUAUGGAAGCUUGUUUCCACAACAGGAUUUAAAAAGAAAAGUCUAUUUCUAUCUGGAUUACGGCCUGGAUCUGCUCUUCAGACAGUAUGAGUGGCUGCAGGCGGAUCUACAGGUACAAAUACACAACAGAUGCUGCUGUGUUCACUCAGAAAUCUACUAUAGUGUGUAUGAACACUAAAAAUCAUGUUGAUAGGUAUAGAUGGAUUUGUUUGUUUUUUCCAACAGAUUUGUAGAAAUGUAGCAUUGCAUCAGUGUCUCAGCAAUGGAUGCUCUGCAGUGAAUGGGUGCCGUCAGAAUGAGAGUCCAAACAGCUGAUAAAAACAUCACAAUAAUCCACAAGUAAUCCACAGCACUCCAGUCCAUCAGUUAACAUCUGGAGAAGACAAAAGAUGAAACACAUCCAGCAUUAAGACGAUUUUAACUCAAAUACAUAGAGUCUAUAAUCCAUAAUAACACUUCCUCCAGUAAAAAAGUGCAUCUGCUGUUGUCUCUCACAUCAAAAUCCAGUCACAGAUUUGUUUAGAGCUGUUUAAACGCUGCUAGAUCUGUGCAGAUUUCUCUCCUGAUUCACACCAGAUCACUUUUUCACUGAGUCAUCGAUCAGAUGCUGCUGGUGAAGGAGAAACACGGAGCGGACGCCUGACGCUGAACAUCCACGCGCUCUCAGGAAACACAAUCUACAUUGAGACGUACUUUAAUCAAACAAACGAGGGAACGAGGAUCAAACAUGACGCUCUCAUGCAGCAGAGUUCUUCAGACUCCUUCCAGACAGAUUCACUGUGCUGGAUCAUAAGUGACCCUGGAGCACAAAACCAGUCAUCAGGGUCAAUUUUUUUGCAAAGUUCUGAAUAAAUCAUCUCUCCAUUGAUGUAUGGUUUGUUAG
ensembl:lncRNA